CCCUCAUCUAUUUCUGGGACAGAAGCUCCCUUAGGCUCACACUCGGUCCCUUCAGCCCUGAUUUGGGGUGGGGGCGGGGCUCUACUUUCAUCCUCCACUGUUUCUAUCCCCUCCCAGGGGAAUCCUCAUAUUCCUCAGCCUCAUGGGCUAAGUAGCCUGUGGGGCCACCAAGACGACUCACCAGAGCUGUGUCAACAAUUCAACCAUUCACAACCCUUCCCAUCCCCUUUCUUAUCGCCCCCCACACACCUGGAGGCUGGGAUACAAGGCGAGUGGAUAAAGAGGGUGGUGCCUUCAUCUCCUCUCCUGCUCUAUAGGAAGAGGGGUCCUUGUACCUGAAGGGCUUACCGGUGGCUUUGUGCCUGGUCCCUGGAAUAAGCUUUGGAUAGCUCUGGAUGGGGGUGGAGCUAGAGGAACAACGGAGUCACCAGGCAGGGAACACAGGGAAUGGCCCAUGUCAGGCAGUGUGACCAGGGCUCUAGUGCAGCUCCUGGUCCAAGCUUUGCAGGAAAAAGCCGUUCGUGCACUGCGUUCCGAUCUGAACAGUCCUGUGUAGUGUUCCAGGCAGGGCAACUGGUGCUGGCUCAGGCUCCCUGUCAUCACAGCUGAGAGUGGAACACUGCUGCCGAGGGUUCGCCUGCAAUUCUGGAGGCUGGUUGUUCUCUGAAAUAAAAAAACAAAAAAACA
rnacentral:lncRNA from 1 species